UGAGGACUCCAGCACUUGAACCUGUCUGAGACAACUGUGAGGGGCUGACUCUGAGGAGGGCACUUGGCUCUCCUUUCCACAGUUGGCAGAGGCUGGAAGGGAGGGAAUUAUUUCAGUUAAGAAUCAAAAUGGAUCAAGCUGGCACAGCUUGUGCAUCAGCAAGCACAAUGUGUGUUUGGGGGGAAGCACCAAGAUUAAUGGAUGUGUUUUGUGGAGCUGCGGUGGGACUUCCCGAUACUGUAAUGCUCUACCAGAAGAAUGAGGACAAAGGCAAGCGCUGGCACACUCGCAAAGACUCUGCCUUCACAUGAAGUGCAGGAAGGACAUGAAUCACAUUCUACCCCACAGUAGCAAAGCCACUAGAGUAGGAACCAUAAAUACAUCCCCCACUGCUCCUGGAGCUGCCAGGUGUGGUGAUCUCCUGGACUUACCUGACAACACAAGAGCGGCAACAAGCCAGAGGUGCAGUAACAAGCAAUAUUCUGUGAGUGUGUGAGGUGUGGAGAUGUUCCAGAGUGGCUUUCAUAUAGAGAUGAAUUUCUCAUAAUCACAUAAAGACUAUGUACAGUAACUUUAGGCUUAACUUCUCUGUGUGUGUACACACACACACAUGUGUUUGCUUUAUAUAUAUUCACAACACAUUUUUAGCUCUUCUGUAACUUUCCAUUUUGCAAUAAAUCAAAUUGGAGCCUUGGUGUGAGCCUUGGUCAGGGAACCAAGAUCCUGCAUACCACAUGGUCAACAAAAAGAAAAAUGAAAUAAGGAACAUUUCACUAAUAUUUAUCACUCCAGGAUUUCAUUACUCCUAUUAAGAUUAGGGAACUAAAUUCCGUGUAUGUAUCUACUGAUCAGCUUACAUAUGAUGAUCACCACGAAGUUUCAAGGAUGGCAGUCCUGAUGUUUACUAAUUGUUAAGGCAUAUGCAUUUCAUAUAUUUUUGACACAUUAAAAUACCAAAGGAAAUUAUAAUGUUUAGAACACAAGUGCCAACAUAGCCAUUUAUUCAUUUUAUGACUGUCCAAUCACUUAUUUAAUACUUACUGAAUUGAUUAUUGCCAACAAACAAAUAAUCAAAACCAUGUUCAUGAAAUUCCACAUUCCAGUCGAAGAGUCUGCCACAGAGAGGAGGGCAGAGGCUUGAUUAGACAGUAAAGAGUUUGUCCUUUAUUUGUGGUGCAAUCUAAAGUCACUGAAGGAUUUAAGCAAGGUAAUGGUAUGAUCUCAUUUGUGCUGAAUGUUUUAAAAUGAUCAUUUUGGCUGCUGUCUAGAGAAUAAACUAUGGCAGAGCAAGGGUAGAAACAGGGCCCAUUUUAAAGUAAACUGUACUAGCUUAGAAAACAAUUGACAGUGUUUCAAACUAAUAUAUUAGGAGGUUGAGAGAAGAGGAUGCACAUGUAUUUGGGGCAUUGAACUAACACAAUUUGCUAAUAGAUUGUACUUAAAGGGAGAGAGAAAGGGGAAAGUUGAGGACAAAUUUUAUCCUAUUGUCUGGCCAACUGGAUGGCUGGAGAUGCCUGUAACUGAUAUAUUAAUAUUGGAAAGCCAUGGGAAAAGAAGUCUAGGGUGGGGUAUCAGGAGUCCUAUUUUCAAACACACUGAGUUUGAUAUCCAUAUGAAGAUGUCUGGGAGGUAGCUGGAUAUUGGAAUCUGGCAUUCAGAAGGGAGGGCAGGGUUGGAGAUGUAAAUAUGGGAGCCAUGAAUGUACAAGUGGCAUUGAAAGCCAUGGAACAGGAUGAAUUAUGCAGAGAAAUCAUGUAAAAUAGACAAGAAGACCCAGAAGCUCAAUCUUUUAGAAACUGGGAAGGAGUAGCAGAGUCAGAA
ensembl:lncRNA